CGGGCCUUCCUUCCCCCCCACCUCCGGAUGAGCGACCCAGGAGACACCUAGCCCCCUAGUUCAUCGCUUAAGAUGUGAAAGGGGAGGGAGGUUUUACUCCCUGCUUGCUUCCUCCGCCCAGCUAUUUCCAGAGUGAAGAAACUGAGGCCCAGAAAGGUGCUAGCAGCAGUAGUGCUUUCCUAUCUUAUCUUGAGUAGUUAUUCUUCUGAAGCUGGCCCUUUAUGUACAACAGUGGCUGACACUUGUUGAUAACUCACAUUGUGCUAGGAGCUAUGCUAAGCACUUUACUUGGACUGGCUCAUUUCUGUCCUCUGCACUAUGAGGUGUAGGUAGGUAUUAUUAUAACCUCUAUUUUAAAGAAGAGGAAACUAAGGGGAGAGCCCACUCAGGUAAAAAAUAGCAAAGCUCACUCUUAAACCUAACAGUCUGACUUCUGAACACUCAUUCUUCCAAAUAUUGUAUAUACUUUUCUCCUGAAAUGGUUUGACUGACCCAACUUUUCUUUUUCUGACUUUUCCUCUUUCUCAUUCUCUCUCUCUCCCUAGUUUUUUCUUUCUUAAUUGAGAAUGACUUGAAAGCAUCCAGUCCAGUCCCUAAUUGAGCAUCUGUAACUGUGUGAGGUGACUGGUUCCAUAGCUAUCAGCUGCAGGUGCCUUUGAGAAGCACCUAUAGGCUUGCUCUUUUGGCCUCAUGAAUUCCUUCUAGCUUCACCUUUUCCUGACCUCCACUGUCC
rnacentral:lncRNA from 1 species